UUUUAGCCUUUAUAUCUUUGGAGUCUAGCAGGGUUAUUAAUUAAUGAACUUGUGUAUUUUCUGUCUUUAGCUACUGAAGAGUGAGGAACUGUCAAUCAGCAGGGACCCUCCUGAAUUAGGUGAAUGCUAACAUUUGGCAAGUGUCAUCACAGUUGCUUGCCCAUGCCCUUGUAAUGCUCUAAGCCAGUGACCCUUCUCUCUUUGUCACACAUUUCAGGUAGCACUCAGAGCUCAUUGUGUGCAACUGAGGUCAACUGCCAACCAACCAAGUGCUCUGUCCUGCUCACACAAAGCUUUCCCUGAAGGCAAGAGAAAAGAAUAAUAAAAGGGGGAAAUGGCCUGCUGAGCAAAGACUCUGAGUCUUUUAUAACAGGAGGUCGUUUUUGAUUAUAGGAAGGAACCUUCAGUGGCCAUGGAAACCAAAAUGCCACACAAAAGCCAGAGGGUGCUUGGGAGGUAAACAAGAUAGAUGAAAGGUGAUGGUGCUUUUAAUCUCCACAACCAAUGUGUUUAGACACCUAGCAGGAUGAAACAACUGGAAACAAUGGCACUCAGUAAGGAAACCUUUUCCAUCAAGAAGGCUUGGAGCAGUUUUGUGAAAACUGGUUUUGAUUUGGGCAAUCUAUCCAGCAAAACAAUAUUGAAAAAUUUAAAGGCAAACUGGGAGUGGAAAUCCUGGACACAGAAGGUAAAAGUGGAACUACAUGAAUAUUUCAGAGGCAUCUACAACUUGUGCAUUCAGAAUACCUCUACUACUAUCCUGUGCGGAAUAUGCAGCAAGAGAUGACAGUCCACACUUACAUUUCUGAGUGUGCUUUCUGCGAGACAACCUAGAUGGACACUUCUGCUUGUUCUGCCUUGAAAGAGGACGAAAGCCCAAGGAUGUGUCCUGUAGGAACAGGGCAUAACCACAACCAGGGUUGCUCAGCAAAGCCAUUCACCCUGUACUAGGUGAUGACAUGAGGAUGUCAGAUGGUCAAGGUCAGGCAAGCAAACUGUAUAAGGGUCUUAUGUACAGGAGCUUAUUAUUAAAUAUUUCAAGAAGUGAUGGAAUAUGGCAAAGUGCAUUUGCAGUAGCUCAGACUUUGAAUUAACUGUCACAAUUUUAUUCUUUGCAAAUAUGAUGUAGUCCCUUCAUCCUACAAUUUUUUUCUAAAAUUGAAUCCCCUUUCAGUCUGAUCUAGGACUGAAACCACUGGAAAUGCUGCUUUAAAUUAGGGAGUUUGGGUGAAGAAAAGGCCAAUUGCAGUUAUUUAAAAAAUAGUUAUCAAGAUUGAAAUUUGAAAGACAGAGACAUCCAUUGGUUUGCGUAUUGUGUUGCUAUAUGCCUUGCCACUUGCUCAGAACAGUAAGCAAAAGAAAAAGAAAUUGUUCCCAUUGGCUGUGAGAAACACUGCAGAGCUCAGACAGUGUGGUACUGUAUAGAAGCACAAGGCAUGCUGCAUUCCAGCCGAGCUCUCCUGAUUCACUUCUGACUGUGUAAAUACCAGCCUUUCAGACUAGUCUGGUGCCUACUCUGUUCUUCUUCCUACCAAAUUUAAGCCCCCUCUCUUGAUCAGGAAGGAGCAGGGAAAUUCAGAAAGCAAUUUUUAAAAAUUAUCUACCUUGUUCCUCUGGCAGGCUACCUUUCAGGAAAGCUUCUCAUCUGAAUGUUGCCAUACCCCUCCUUCCCUUUCUCUUCCCCCAGAAGACUGUUGCUGUUUUUUGCUAUACGAAGACCAUUUCUUAUUACUCUGUUUCUGUUUUUACUUUUGUGAACUUGUUUUUCUUCUUUUUCUUCCUCCAUUAUUUGUAUUUUUAUUUCCAUUUCCAUUUCUGUGGCCCCAAUUCUUUUAAGCAUUAUUUCCUGCAAAGUCUUGACCAUCAGUAUAUCUGUUUCUUUAGAUGUCCUGAUGCUCCACUCACAAUACCUCUUGCAAUCAACCUCAACAAAAUUCAGUAAAGCAUUGCCAUAAAAAUACAAAGUUCACUCAAGUUUUCUUGUGACCAAUGGAUGAUUAAGAGUCAAAGACCCCAGACAAUCUAAUAUUUUUUCCUCCCCUCUGUGCUUCCACCUGUGAAAAAGCUGUGAACUUCACAGUAUCUGCUCUGGCAUGUCAGCUGCCCUCUCCAUCCAUGUCUUCUCUCUUGCUCACCAGCACAGGCAGAACAAAGGUAUGUGCUAUCAUCUGGGAAGGAGGAAGAGAAAAGAGAUGCUGGGAAAUUCUGAGAUGUUCCCAACAGGCCACACCUCAGGUAGAUCAUGGUGUGAAAUUUGAUGGGAGAGGGGAAGAUGCAUAGCCCAGCCAUUUGUGUUGCUCAAGAGAUAACCGGUUUUCUGUGCCUAAAAAAACUUAAGAGGUUCCCUGCAUGUUGUUCAGGACUUCUUUUAGCCAUUCUGUUACUAGCAUGAACAUUUUAUAGCUUUGAUCUCAAUUUUAAUACACACGUGUAACACAUUGUGGUGACUGUCACCUGAUUUCUAGCCAUUCUGUGUGGAAGGACUAGAAUUUAUUUUACCUGUCCUACUUAAUCAUCUUUGUAGGAGGGGUAAAUACUCAUAGGUCAAGAAAGAACAUGGACUUGAGGAGUGAAGAAAAAUGGCUGGUGAAAACUUAGUUUAAAGUAAUGGGCAUGGUUUUCUCUUUCAAGUUUUAUUAAUGUGAUGGUUUUCAAAUCUGUAACCCUACAUCUGUACAA